UACGUAGGUGGCAAGCGUUGUCCGGAUUUACUGGGCGUAAAGAGCGCGCAGGCGGUCGUUCAAGUCGCGUGUGAAAGCCCCCGGCUCAACUGGGGAGGGUCACGCGAUACUGAUCGACUCGAAGGCAGGAGAGGGUAGUGGAAUUCCCGGUGUAGUGGUGAAAUGCGUAGAUAUCGGGAGGAACACCCGUGGCGAAGGCGACUACCUGGCCUGUUCUUGACGCUGAGGCGCGAAAGCUAGGGGAGCAAACGGG
rnacentral:rRNA from 1 species